AUUUUAUUGUAAAAAAAUUAAAAAAAUUGCCAGAAUGUUUUUUUUUUCCCACAAUCUAUGGUGACUUCCUGAUUUCAAAAACAAUAACAUUUACUGGGCCUCCCGAUUUAUUGUAGAUAUAUGUGUCUACAAAUAGAAUAGUGCUCUAUUACUGGCUAUAAUGUGAACUGUGGUAGGAAUGUGUGACGAUGUUUUUUUUAGAUAGCGAUUUAUAUUUAGUAUUGUAUAAACAACAAAUUCAAUAUAGGAAUGAUAUGGAGUCCCAUACGCAUUCUUCACUUAUUAAUAAGUACAUAACUAAGUAAAGAAUGUUUUUUUAAACUGCUAAAGAUUUUACUUCUAGUUUUUUCAAGAAUCAACGACUGAGAGGAGAUAUUUUAUAAUGGAUGGACUAACUAAUACAAUAAGAAUAUUAAUAAGAAAUGAAAGAAAUAAAACGGAUCAUGUUUGCAAAUUGUGCAGAAAUGUAUGCAAAUGUCAAAGAAUCUCUUAUUUAGAGUAUUUUCCAGAUGUCUACUUUGACACACUUUCAUACUAGCUUUUUUUUUUAAUUAAAAUAUAUAUCAUUUCUUGGCCCAAAGGGAUUUUUUUAAUGGGUGAAAAUGGCAAAGUAUCCCGCCUGCGCUAUCGAUAUACACUGGCAGGGUAUCAAUGAGAGGUGAAGAUGAAAAGGCAGGUCAGUUAGCCCAUCGUGACAAAUUUAACGAUAAAUUAGUCAAGAUAGUUUCCAGGAGGAACCGCGUGGAGGUCGACCUGAUAGGGUAUAUUGAUAGCAAUGGGGACUAACCUCCCCAUUACUAACAAUCCCUUCCCCCAGCAUAAAGGGAUUACUAGUACCCUGUCAGGCUGAUUCCAUGUGGUCCCUCCUAGAAACCAUCGUGACAAAUUCCAGGUAUAUUCAUCACGAUGGGCUAACUGACCUAAUUUUUAAAUCACACCUAUCGUACUUCACUGGUGCCCUGCCAGCGUAUACCCUUAACGCAGGCGGGGUUGCCAUUCCAUUAUCAUCCUUUAAAAAACCUAUGUAACUAAUUUGCCAACCCUAGAUAAGGUGAACGUUGGUACGAUAACAAUUCUUUGUUCGUUUACGUAUGAGGUCAUCACACCACAUACUAACACACAUACACACAUACGACAUUCAUACAUAUUUAAUGGCACUAAAGAAUUUGUUCGUGUCUGUCUAUAUUUAUUGAAAACUUGAACAGAUUUUUUUUAUAACACAGAGACCAUUUUUGUACAAAUUAUAAUUUUUCUGACUUCAUAUAAUUUAACAAAUACAGUGUGGUGAUUUUAGAGUAGCUUUCUCUCGCAAACUCUCAGAUAAUGGAAUGACCUUCCUGCCGAGGUUUUCCCUAGAGAUUACAGCAUGGGCACAGAUAAUAUUAAUAAUUGGGGUUCUUCAAAAAGCGUGUAAUAAGAUGUCUUAUGGGUCGGUAACGAGGGCGUGAUAUCCCUAGUGUUACAGGCGUCCAUAGAUUACGAUAACACACCAUUGUGCAUCCGAUAGUAGUGACGCGGUUCAUUUGAUUUAAUAGUGGGGGAACUCCCACUAUUAAAUCAAAACAUAUAAGACAUCAGUUUUCUUAAAGCCACAAGAAUCCUACAUAAUCAUCAUUAUUAUCAUCUCAGCCAUUAUCUGUUCGCUGCUGAACACAGACCUCCCUAAUAGACUGCCAUAAGGAACGGUCUUAAAC